rnacentral:lncRNA from 1 species
GGACUCUCUCCGGAGCAACCAGGUCUUGAGGAACCAGUAUUAGCAUUAGAAUGCAAGCAACAACAGGCCAACCCGUGACAGAUGUGGCCCCUCCAACCUGUUAAUUCCUGAUGGUCGCAUCAGAAGGUGCCUUUGUUGGGAGCUAUUAAGACAACACAAUUGUCCUGAUCUCUGAAUUGGGCCUCUCCCCACCCCCCCCAGAAGAAAAGGGGGUCAAAAGCAGGCCACCGACACUCCGAUUCCAAGAACAACCACAGAAUGUUCCAGCCCUAAGUCAUCAUCGAUGUCCUGACCACACCCUGAUACCACCAAGUUCCUGCUUACCAAAAGCUACUCUGUAGCUGCCAAAAGAAGAAAUUUCUAUUGCCCCCCUCCCACUGAUAAGUACUUCUCCUUUUGCUUGUAUUGCCCCACCCCUCCCACUGAUAAGUACCUGUACUUCCCCUUUUGCUUGUGCAUUUAAGCCUUGGGCCUUUCUCAAUACAGUGGGGUCUUG